AUGGCUCCUUUGAUCAUCAACAAUGAUGUGGUCCAGGGUGAGACUUUCCUCCCUGGACAGAUCUUCGUCUUCGGCGGCUUCGCUCUGCGGGCCAAUUCGCUCGGCCACCUUGAGCAGACCGAAAGCUACGCCCCUAGCCAUCAGGUCAGGUUUGGAAGCCUAAACUACACGGCCAACAUCCGCGGGGACUUGAUCUUCGACGGAUUCGAGCCACAGCCAAGCGUGCCGCACUGUCUCGACGGGCAUGAUGUAGCUCUGCUGCCGAACAGUGCUUUGGAGGCCGCACGCGCAUCGGUUCCGACCAUUGAUUCGGAGCCUACUGUGCCAAUCGAGGAUCAGCGGUUGGACGCUGCCUCAGGGGCUGCAAUCUCAGAGGCGAUUGAGCCGAACUCCAGCCCCGCACUCUGCACGACCCGUGACUCCGAGGAUCCAGACUCCUCCCCGGACUCCGAACCCCCCGCGCCCCUGCCAAUCGAAUCCGAUUGGGCGCGGAUAAUGGAGUUCACCGCUGCAGACAUCUUUCAACAUUCGCCUUUUGGCGACAUCCUGAAUUCUCUUAAGUCUCUCUCUUUAUCAGGAGAGCCCUGGCCGGACUGCGGUCAGCGAGGGUGGGAUGUGGACGAUAAGGAAAUUCAAAACCCACCCACCACCCACUUGGUAGCCACUGUCGACAAUUUAAACGACGUGCUCAACUUUGACUCCGGAGACAUCGACAUCAUGGAUGACGAUGCAGGAGAUACCGACAAACCAACGCUCAUAGGGCAUUGGACAGCCACCUCAUCUCACGAUGUGUACAUGGUGGAUACCCCUAAAGGAGGUGACAAUGAGGAAAAAGGGAAUGGGACGGGAGUUCGACCCCCCGAAAAGCAAUCAAAGCGUCAGCGUAAACACCGACCCAAGCCCCGCCUCGACAUAAACCCAACCAUAAAGCAAGACGAGCCGGGAGACGACAAGCAGGCCUUAGAGCAACCGUCCGAACAGGGCAACACGGAUAGAGAAACCGAACAUCCCUCCCCCGGCGAAAACGGAAUUCUGGACGACCUCACGCUGGAUGAACCCAUGGAGCAGAAGAAUCUCCACGAGAGGCUCGUUGCAACUGCACGCAGCCUAAAAAAGCAGAAGCGCAAGCUAAAAACAGCGGAAGAUGCACUCCGAAUUAGAUGGAGCAAAGUAAUCAAUACCGCAGAUAAAUACGGCGACAGUCGCGGCACUAAAAGCUAUCCGAAAAGAAAGCUACUGCCCGAAUUCGACAAAGAGGCCCUAAAGCCCUCGCAUUCAAAAAAUGAGAAAGCAACAUGGUCGGAUAAACGAACCCAUAAAGCGGCAAGCGGUGCCGCACCUAAAGCGGCAUGCGACCCACUUAAUGAUUCACAUCAUGGCCCAAUCAGGUCCGUUUAUGGGCCAAGAAAGCAAGCUCGUGUAAACAACACUAUGAAGCCAUCAUCAGAAUCCGGCACACCCAAAUACAAGGGCGCCACACACCCCCUAUGUUUCACCGAUGAGGUUCUGGACUAUGAAUUCCCAGAGGGAUUCAAACCCGUAAACAUAGAGGCAUAUGAUGAAACAACAGACCCUGGAGUUUGGAUCGAGGAUUAUAUCCUCCACAUACAUAUGGCUAGAGGAGAUGAUCUCCACGCCAUAAAAUAUUUACCCCUUAAGCUUAAAGGGCCAGCCCAGCAUUGGCUUAAAAGCCUUCCCGAAAACACAAUUGGAAGCUGGGAAGAGCUCGAGGAUGCUUUCCGAGCAAACUUUCAAGGGACCUAUGUCCGCCCUCCGGAUGCAGACGAUCUUAGUCACAUAACUCAACAACCCGGAGAAUCAGCCCGACAGUUCUGGAAUAGAUUCCUCACUAAAAAGAAUCAAAUAGUCGACUGUCCGGACACUGAAGCCUUAGCAGCUUUCAGGCACAACGUCUGA
rnacentral:rRNA from 1 species